rnacentral:rRNA from 1 species
UACGAAGGGGGCUAGCGUUGCUCGGAAUCACUGGGCGUAAAGGGUGCGUAGGCGGGUCUUUAAGUCAGGGGUGAAAUCCUGGAGCUCAACUCCAGAACUGCCUUUGAUACUGAAGAUCUUGAGUUCGGGAGAGGUGAGUGGAACUGCGAGUGUAGAGGUGAAAUUCGUAGAUAUUCGCAAGAACACCAGUGGCGAAGGCGGCUUACUGGUCCGGUUCUGACGCUGAGGCGCGAAAGCGUGGGGAGCAAACAGGG